rnacentral:rRNA from 1 species
GAUGAACGCUGGCGGCGUGCCUAAUACAUGCAAGUCGAGCGAACGGACGAGAAGCUUGCUUCUCUGAUGUUAGCGGCGGACGGGUGAGUAACACGUGGAUAACCUACUUAUAUGACUGGGAUAACUUCGGGAAACCGGAGCUAAUACCGGAUGAUAUUUUGAACCGCAUGGUUCAAAAGUGAAAGACGGUCUUGCUGUCACUUAUAGAUGGAUCCGCGUUGCAUUAGCUAGUUGGUAAGGUAACGGCUUACCAAGGCAACGAUGCAUAGCCGACCUGAGAGGGUGAUCGGCCACACUGGAACUGAGACACGGUCCAGACUCCUACGGGAGGCAGCAGUAGGGAAUCUUCCGCAAUGGGCGAAAGCCUGACGGAGCAACGCCGCGUGAGUGAUGAAGGUCUUCGGAUCGUAAAACUCUGUUAUUAGGGAAGAACAUAUGUGUAAGUAACUGUGCACAUCUUGACGGUACCUAAUCAGAAAGCCACGGCUAACUACGUG